GAGUUUGACCUGGCUCAGGAUAAACGCUGGCGGCAUGCCUAACACAUGCAAGUCGAACGGGGUUUAUAUAGCGGAACUCUCCGGAGGGAAGCCGUAUAAACCUAGUGGCGGACGGGUGAGUAACGCGUGGGGAACCUGCCCUGUACCGGGGGACAACAGCCAGAAAUGGCUGCUAAUACCGCAUAAUCCUGCACUACCGCAUGGUGGUGCAGGGAAAACUCCGGUGGUACAGGAUGGCCCCGCGUCUGAUUAGCUUGUUGGCGGGGUAACGGCCCACCAAGGCAACGAUCAGUAGCCGGCUUGAGAGAGUGAACGGCCACAUUGGGACUGAGACACGGCCCAGACUCCUGCGGGAGGCAGCAGUGGGGAAUAUUGCACAAUGGGGGGAACCCUGAUGCAGCAAUGCCGCGUGGGUGAAGAAGUAUUUCGGUAUGUAAAGCCCUAUCAGCAGGGAAGAAAAUGACGGUACCUGACUAAGAAGCCCCGGCUAACUACGUGCCAGCAGCCGCGGUAAUACGUAGGGGGCGAGCGUUAUCCGGAUUUACUGGGUGUAAAGGGAGCGCAGGCGGCGUGGCAAGUCAGAUGUGAAAACCCGGGGCUCAACCCCGGGACUGCAUUUGAAACUGCCAUGCUGGAGUGCCGGAGAGGUAAGUGGAAUUCCUAGUGUAGCGGUGAAAUGCGUAGAUAUUAGGAGGAACACCAGUGGCGAAGGCGGCUUACUGGACGGUAACUGACGCUGAGGCUCGAAAGCGUGGGGAGCAAACAGGAUUAGAUACCCUGGUAGUCCACGCCGUAAACGAUGGAUACUAGGUGUGGGGGGACUGACCCCCUCCGUGCCGCAGCUAACGCAAUAAGUAUCCCACCUGGGGAGUACGAUCGCAAGGUUGAAACUCAAAGGAAUUGACGG
rnacentral:rRNA from 1 species